rnacentral:rRNA from 1 species
AGCAGCCGCGGUAAUUCCAGCUCCAAUAGCGUAUAUUAAAGUUGUUGCAGUUAAAAAGCUCGUAGUUGAAUUUCGGGGUUCUACCGUUGGUCGGGCAAUUGUCUGUACUGGCGUGUGGAAUUUCUACCUUCUGGGGAACCAUCAUGUUAUUAAUUUAGCGUGGUGGAAAACCAGGACCUUUACCUUGAAAAAAUUAGAGUGUUCAAAGCAGGCUUACGUCUGAAUACAUUAGCAUGGAAUAAUAAAAUAGGACGGUGGUCCUGUUUUGUUGGUUUCUGAAUCACCGUAAUGAUUAAUAGGGAUAGUUGGGGGCAUUAGUAUUCAAUUGUCAGAGGUGAAAUUCUUGGAUUUAUUGAAGACUAACUUCUGCGAAAGCAUUUGCCAAGGAUGGUUUCAUUAAUCAAGAACGAAAGUUAGGGGAUCGAAGACGAUCAGAUACCGUCGUAGUCUUAACCAUAAACCUAUGCCGACUAGGGAUCGGACGAUGUUAAUUUUUCUUGACUCGUUCGGCGCCUUACGG